UUCCCCACCUCUAAUCGACAAAAAUCAUCAAAAUUUUGGUCUGUGAACUUCGUGCGGAUGAAAUUGGAUUGAACGCCAGCGAAAAUAUGCAAAAUAAAGUGAAAUACCAGUGCCUCGCGGACGAGGAGCGCCGCUGCAGAGCGUCCUGCAGCCAGUAGAUCCCUAGAGUGCUGGAAAUUUCGCGGGGAAAGCAAGCAGGAGAAGAAGCAGCAGCAGUACAAACAGCAAAGUGUAGUUGUGAUCGAAAAUCGAAAGUGUGAAGCAUUUUCUAUAAAUAGUGCAAAAUCAAAACCAAAUUCACAGUGCAAACAAACGCAAUAAAGCAAUAACAAAAACACAAGAAAAAACAGCGAACAUAUAAACACGAAUACAUCUGGAGUAGUCGGAUCUCACAGAGCGCGCGCUCUGCCUCAAAUAGCAGGAUUAUCUGAAGGAUCGUCUGAAAAAGGAUCACCAAGAUGUCCUCGCUGGACGCGCGCAACAACUCGGCGAUGAUGAAGCGGGCGGAGCAGCUGAAGCGCUGGGAGGAGUCGGACACCAACCGCGCUGCCCCCACCCCCCGCCACGAGCACGGACGCAGGAUUAAGUUCAGCUCCGGCUGCGUCUUCCUCGCCGCCUGCCUCUCCGGCGACAAGGACGAGGUCGUCCAGCUGCUCGACCAGGGCGCCGACAUCAACACGGCCAACGUGGACGGACUAACCGCCCUGCAUCAGGCGUGUAUAGACGACAACCUGGACAUGGUGGAGUUUUUGGUGGAGAGAGGUGCCGAUAUAAACCGACAGGAUAACGAGGGCUGGACGCCCCUUCAUGCCACUGCCUCCUGCGGCUUUGUGAGCAUAGCUCGGUAUCUGGUGGAAAAUGGCGCUGAUGUGGCCGCUGUGAACAGCGAUGGCGAUCUGGCUUUGGACCUGGCCAUCGAUGUGCAGCACAUGGCCAUGAUUGACUACAUGGAGAAGAUGGUGCAGGAGCUGAACAUAAACGUGGACGAGGCUCGAAAGGCUGAAGAGCAGGCGAUGCUGAACGAUGCCAAAAAGUGGCUGAGAAGCGAUGCCGCCGAGGUGGACAGACCGCAUCCGAAAACGGGUGCCACAGCACUCCACGUAGCCGCCGCUAAGGGUUACACGAAAGUGCUGGGAUUGCUCCUGGCCGGACGUGGCAAUGUGGAUCGCCAGGAUAACGAUGGCUGGACGCCACUGCAUGCAGCAUCGCAUUGGGGUCAACGGGAAACGGCCGAGAUGCUCGUGGAGUCCCUGGCCGACAUGGACAUACGCAACUACGCCGGCCAAUCCUGCAUUGAUGUGGCCGAUCGCAAAAUAGUCAAAUUCCUGGAAGAACUGCGGGCCAACAAGCGCAACAAGCGGCGACCAUCUAGUCAAAUCAGCAGAAUCUCAGAUGCGAUUGAAAAUCACGUGGACAAGACGCCAACCAAGCUGGUGCGCGUCGAAGUGAGAACUGAUGCCGCAAAGGAUGCAGCCAGUGGCUCAAGUGAAGCUGCCGAAGCAGAGACUUUGAUUCCAAGCGCUGCUAAUGAUGAUGAUGAUGAUGAUGAUGGUGGUGGUGGAGGAGUGGUGGCCAGGGGCCAGAGCGAUACAGAAGAGCUGAGCGAUUCCACGGAAAGCUCACACUCGACCAGUCUUUCCGAGAGCGAAGCUGAGAACGUCAAACCCAAUCAACAGAUCCAUGCAGGCGAUCAUCCAGUCGAGGAGGAGGCGCCCUGGCGACGCAAGCUGCCACGCACACCCAACGACAGUCCCACUAAUAAUCAAGUUCCUGAUAGAGAGCUUAGCAGCAAUAGCUCGGAAACCGCCAACGAUGUCAUUUUGCGACGCACGCAAAGCUUCGAGAAUGAUCAAAAAUUCUAUCAAAAGUACAAUGAGCUGCGGGCACGCAUAAAGGCCAAUUCCUGUCCCAUAUUGCCGGCGAAUGCGAAUGCUAAUGCCGCUGCUGCCAAUAAUUCCAAUAACAAUAAUAAUCUAAGUAGCAAUAACAAUCAUAAUAACAACAAUAACAACAAUAAAAGCGAUCUGCUAUUGGGAUAUGCUGCUGGCACAACAAAAACAAUGACAACAAGCACAUCCACAACAACAACAACAACCAACUACUCGAACACCAACAACACAAGCACACCACAACAACAACAACAAAAACCACCAGCAGCAGCAGCAGCAUCGGCAACAAAUCAAUUAUAUAGCGUACAAAGAUCGGCCUCACUCAAAGAUAACUCAAUGUAUUACAGGAAACCGACCGUUACGAUUGCCACGCCCACCAGUACAGCAGCUACGGCAAAUACGGCGCUCAGUUCACCAUCGACAACUGUACAGACCCCACCAAUUCGCAGCCAAGUUUCAGCGAAAAUAGCUGAAAAGAGCAAUAAUGGCAGCUCGUCCACGGCCAGUGUCAGCGAUGCGGAGAGUGCCAAGCCACCGCCGCCACCGCCCAAACAGUCCACCAGCAAUAUGAUUAAAAACUUCUUCAAAUCCUUUGUGCCACCGGUGCGCGAUGAGGAGAGUGAAACGCAGCGGAAGGCACAUGCCAAGCGCGUGAGGGAGACUCGUCGGUCAACCCAAGGCGUAACUUUGGACGAGAUCAAGAGUGCCGAGGAGUUGGUCAAAAAGAAGAACAUGGGCAUGGCCAACAACAAUAAUAAUAAUAAUAUCAGCACCACCACUACGAACACCAUCAGCAACAGCGGCAACGAAACAAGCUCAGCAUCAUCGGCCGCCACAGCCACCACAACAUCAACAUCAUUGAUCCUCGACAGCAAUGAGCCGCGGGACGAGUCGCAACCGCCACCACCGCCCACCACACCACCGCCAGCCAUAAUACCCACCACAACGACGGCCACCGAUGAGACGGAGAUCGAGGAGGUGGUGACCACCACCGUCUCCAAUCCUCCAGUUGUCCAAAGCCUAAAUGACGCCACAGCUACGUUUACCCUAUCCGCUCCGGUGCAAAGAUCCAUUUCGGGCGAGGGCGAUGGCGAUGCCAACAGUGAUCCGGAGGGGGAUCAGGAUCAGUCGGUGGUCAGUGCCAGCUAUACGAUAAUGCCCCGCCGGGAUAAGCUCCCAGAUGCCGGAUCAGAAGAGAAGACUCCACAAAAGACUGACCCAGUUGCCAAAAGCUCCAGCGAAGAGGAGCCACCGCAUGUUAGGCCCACGGAUCUGCCACUGAUCCCAGCUCCUGCCGCUCCCGCUGCUACUGCUGUUGUCAGCACAGAAACUAUCAAAUCGUCUUCGGUGGCCACCACACCCUCUGCCCUCGAGAGUCCAGUGCGCUUGCGGGACAAGCGGGGUCUGACCAGCAGCAGUCAGGAAUCGGAGACCAAGUCCGAUACCGCCUCGCCCGUGUCCUCGCAUCCGGACUUCAAUGCCCGCGACUCGCUUUUGAGUCUAUACGCCCGACGCACAACGGACAGCAGCGCGGGAGGAGGAGGAACAGGAGUAGGUGGUGGUGCAGGUGGUGCGAGUGGUGCUGCUUCUACUUCCGCAGCGGAAAGGCGUCCCUCUUGGCGCCUGAAAUUCGAUGCCGGCUCCAAGUUCAAACUGGAGGACAUAACCAGCGGUGGCACAUAUCCGCCAAACAACAGCACCAUUAUACCCAGCGCUCCGGCAGUGAUGGCAGCCGUUAAUCUAUCCACCACAACUGGUGUCCAGCGGCGCAUCAGCAGUGGUCCCAAUGCACUAAAUGCAUCCAAUCAGUCGCUCAACUCGGUGGGUCGCCCUGUAUCCGCGCCCAGUGAGGGCACAAACAACAGUGCCUAUGUCACUCCAUCAGCGCGUAAAUACGAAACGAAUGCAACAUCAACGGGGGCAAAUGCAGCAGCGGCCACGACCACUAACUCAACCUCCAAUUCAGUGUCUGCAACCAGUGCCAAUCAUGCAGCGGCUACGGCAACUAGUGCCACGUCAAACCAUGACGAUAAGGAUAACGACAAGGAGAACGAUAAUCGCACACAGACCGUCAUUCAGAGACGACGCAAACCGAAGCGCAGAUCAACGGGCGUGGUGCACAUCGAUAUGGAUGAACUGGAUCCCGAGCGACAGAACGAAUCGUCCAACAACGACAACGAGGAGAAGGAAAAGGAGAGUGGCAGUGAGCGGACAUCUCGUUCCCGCUUGGGCAGCACCACGAGUACGGCCACCACGAGCGAAUCGAAGAGCUCCAGCAGUAUCGACAAGGCGGAGAAUGGCGAUGGCAUUGAUUACAAGGCGCUCUGGGAAGCUGCCAAAUUGGAGAACGAUAAGCUGAAGCAGAUGCUCAAGCAAAAGGACGAUGAAGCCGUGCAGACACGUGCAACGCUCGAGAGAUUCGCCAAUGCCACAACGAAAAAUUCACUAUCUGAACUUGAGAAACGCGAAAGAAGAGCUAUGGAACGCAAGCUUUCCGAGUUGGAAGAAGAGCUCAAGCUAUUGCAGAAGCUAAAGACUGAGAACGAUCGUCUGCGAGCCGAGAAUCGGGCCCUCACGCGGGUCGUCUCCAAGCUGACCACCUCGGCUCAGAGUCAGCUGGCCAAGACCAAAUAGGCGCAGAUCAAAAGCAUUUAGAUUGCCCAGCACACCAGCCCAUAUACACACACCCAAGAAAUAAAAAUUCUCACGCCCCCUUGCUCACAAGCACAAUGUCGCGAAUAUCGUUAUAUCUUUUCUAUAAGAGCUGGAAAAACAUCGAUGUUCCUACAGGUAAACUUCGAUAAUCAAUAAUCAUCGAUGUUUUUCCUGCUCUAGAUUCUUUUAUACAAUACUUAACACACAUCGGUGUCGUUACGAAUAUUAUAUGGAUAUGUAAGCAUAACCGAAAACACAAUAACUAAAUGUAUCGUAGCUAAAUUAAGUUCACAUUGAGCUCAUUGGGUUUGGACUGGUCACUGGUAACAUUACUAUAAACUCCUUGGGAGUUACUAUAUACUACAGACCCUUUUAUAGAAGCGCAAACUUCAAAAGUAGUUAAUUUUAAAAUAGUAAAAUAUUAAUCUCACGGCUUGAUCGUUUUUGGUAACCUAAAUAUGCGUUAGGGGAAAAUGUUUGCGAAUUUAUAAAGUAAUUAUUGUAACGAACUAUAUCAUGUAUGGAAACUACAGACCACUGUACGGUUGAUAAGUACUUAUAAAUCAAAAUUAAGCCCACACUCGAAUCAAAGUAAAGCUCAUCGAAACCAACGAGAUCAAUCAUCAAGCCCCCACCACCACAAAAAAAAAAAAAAAUAAAUAAAUGAACUAACAGCAUCAGCGAAUUGCGGCCCAAGGAUAUAUGGAGGCAAUAUAUAUAUAUAUAGGGUAUCCUGCAGAAGUCGAACAUCAGGGAGAGCGAAGUGAUCUAUUUGGUGAUGCUGGAAGCUUGACGCAACUUGAUGCCUACAAGUCGGAUAAUCAUCGCCUGAAGGAGGAGAACGCCGCGUUGAUUAGAGUAAUUAGCAAAUUAAGUAAAUGAAAUUAUGUUUUACUUUCAGUGUAUGUGUGUCUGAGAACCUAUAUCAUCGAGAAGCAACAAUUUUACUUUAUUAACCAGCUGCAAAAAGGCUGAAAAAAAAAAAAUAAUGAGAAUGUUAAAGCAAAAAGCGAUGUAAGCGAAAGCGGGAUAUUCGCGUGAAAAUUUCUAAAUUGAUUUAUUAUUUGUGUUAGACCCUUAAGAAUUAGGUGAAACCAUGUUUCAAAUAUCGUUGAGAAUUGUUUCGUUCGUUUUUAUAUAAAAGAAAAAAAAACUUAUGUAUUUGGUCAAAUUUUAUAUACGAAAUAGAGCAAAUUAUUAAUAAACUUACACAAAUCAAGCUUAACUAUAUUUACAUAAACAUACGCGAUAAAAAGAUCGUAAGAAAUGAAAUGAAAAACAAAAACAAAAACCUUUACAUACAAACUGAGAACAUAUUCAUCAAAUGAGCCCUAGUUACAUUACAGAUUAGUUUAACUACAUGAUACAUAAUAUAUAUAUAUAUAUAUUUUUUCAUAUAUAAAUUAUAUAUACACAUUACAUAAUAUAUAUUUAAAGCAAAAGAAUCAUAAGUUCAACAUUUCAAUGUGUAAUAUCACCAAGGACAAGGACCCAGACCGCCAGUUGAGAGCGUCCGGAGAUGUGUCGAAACGAGCCCACGCGUCAACUUACUAAGUGUAAUCAUUAAAAUCAUCCAAUUGUAAUUGUGUUUAGUGCUGCAGAUAAAUAUAUAUAGGCAUCGGCGAGGCCAUCAAAUGCUAUAGCAUGUGUACCCAUAAACUAAGGAGACUUCGCUGCUAAAGCUCCAUGGCGCUAAUCUAUAGAUCAAGAUGUGUUUUACAACCAGAUGCACUAAUAAUUCUAUUAUUUGAGUACCUUAAUUUAAGCACACUUUUAGUUCUCUCCUUCACUUCGAAACGUAUUAUAUACAUUUACAUCGUACUAUAUUUUACUUUCGCUUAUAACGAAACAAAUGAUCAUACGCAUAUUUCUGUUAUUUAUUAAAUUUGCUUAAGAGACUUUGUGUUACUCGUAAAUGGAAACGAUAAUCAAGCAUAAACAAACAUAAAACGUGAAUUGUGUAAUAUGUAAAAUUGUGUGAGAAAAUAUUUAAGAAAAUUUGAUUCAAAUACGAAACUUAAUAAAUGUGAUCGCAAGCAAA